rnacentral:rRNA from 1 species
UACGUAGGGGGCUAGCGUUGUCCGGAAUCAUUGGGCGUAAAGCGCGUGUAGGCGGCCCGGUAAGUCCGCUGUGAAAGUCGGGGGCUCAACCCUCGAAUGCCGGUGGAUACUGUCGGGCUAGAGUGCGGAAGAGGCGAGUGGAAUUCCUGGUGUAGCGGUGAAAUGCGCGGAUAUCAGGAGGAACACCAAUUGCGAAGGCAGCUCGCUGGGACGUCACUGACGCUGAGACGCGAAAGCGUGGGGAGCAAACAGG